rnacentral:rRNA from 1 species
GAUGAACGCUAGCUACAGGCUUAACACAUGCAAGUCGAGGGGUAGCAGGAGAGAAGCUUGCUUUCUUGCUGACGACCGGCGCACGGGUGAGUAACGCGUAUGCAACCUGCCCGUAACAGGGGGAUAACGGAGAGAAAUUUCCACUAAUACCCCAUAUAGCCGUUUGGCCGCAUGGUCAGGCGGCGAAAGCCUUGGUGGUUACGGAUGGGCAUGCGUGGCAUUAGGUAGUUGGCGGGGCAACGGCCCACCAAGCCGACGAUGUCUAGGGGAGCUGAGAGGCUUAUCCCCCACACUGGUACUGAGACACGGACCAGACUCC